GACGUAGGGCGCGAGCGUUGUCCGGAUUUAUUGGGCGUAAAGAGCUCGUAGGCGGCUUGUCGCGUCGACUGUGAAAUCCCGCGGCUCAACUGCGGGUCUGCAGUCGAUACGGGCAGGCUAGAGUUCGGUAGGGGAGACUGGAAUUCCUGGUGUAGCGGUGAAAUGCGCAGAUAUCAGGAGGAACACCUGAGGUGAAGACGGGUUGCUGGGCCGACACUGACGCUGAGUGCGCGAAAGCCAGGGGAGCAAACGGG
rnacentral:rRNA from 1 species